CGCAGCUGCGCCCACUUUGCCAGCAGCCAGACCUGCGUGUGUGUGACGAGUGACAAUACGGCGAGCCGCAUCUUAUGCUCAGAAAUGACGUUUCUACACACCGCCAUCACCGAGGCCUUGCCUGACCUUCCAGAAGUGUCCAAAGAUAUUCUAGAGGAGACCUUACAAAACAGGAGCACGCCGAGUGAAAUGGAAAGGAUUUGAGGACAUCUACAGGCUGACGAUAAUACCACUAUUCAUCAAGAUGGUUCAUGCUGUAAUGGCUUCGAAACAUCAUACAUGACAACAUCCCCUCUUUCAUUUCUUCCCUGUGCCUGAUGUUUCGGAGCUAUUACUGCUUCAACUUCCAUUACCCAUCAGAGCUGGCAUCAACCCUGAAGUUUCUGCAGAGGUGUUUUUUCUCCAUCAACCCAGAGAAGGUUACUGAAGUGGAGAAGACGCGAAUGUCCCGUCUUCACGUGAACCUGAGAGUGUUUUAAAAAAUAUUUUAUUUACAUUUUCAAAUUAAACAAACAGGGCUCAGAUGUAGCUAUUGCCAGUUGUUUACAGUCAUAUUCAAUACAGCAGUAGGAGGAAAGGUUCUCAAUACGGGAACAAAAUUAGUUUGCUGUAAUUUAGCUUUUUCAAAAUGAGUUAAUGGGUUCCAAGAACGGUCUUUCUGUUUAUAGAGCAGAAAUGAAUCUUAGACAAACAGUUGUUCCACAUGGAUUCAGAUAAUUCCACACCUAACUCUUUUUUUCCAAGUAUCCCUAGUUUUCACAGUGUGCGCAACAAUACAGUCAUCAAAUAGAUGUACAAUUCUCGAAAGAAGAUGCUUGGAGAGAGGAGGGCUCUUAUAUAAUAUCAUAAAUUUCAUGCUCCAGGGGUAGAUUUUGAAAAUCUUCAAUUUUUGAUUGGGCGUAAUGCCUAACCUGCAAAUACCGAAAGAAAUGGGAAUUAGGGAGAUUGUAUUUUCCUUUCAGUUGGCUGAAUGAUGCAAAUUUACCGUCAAUGUGCAGAUUAUUAACUGAAACCAAGCCCCUCUUUCUCUAAUCAUGGUACAGUAUGUCAUGCCAGGGAGGCAGAAAACAAUGGCUAAAACAUAUAGGUGCUUUUACUGAUGUAUUUGGUAAUUUUAGAAAGCACCUGACCUGGUUUAAAAUUAUUACUGACUGCUUUACCACAAAGCAUAAAUUCUUAUGGGACCCUGGCUUUUCAAACUUGGAAAUAACAUAGCUGGCAGUGAAGAAUUAUUCAGAGUUGGCCUCCAUCUUAAGCCACAGAGCGUCUGAUUAUCCAGGGAUCCCUGCUGCCAGAACAUUAAUGCCCUAACAUUGGCAGCCCAGUAGUAGUGCUUAAAUACAGGCAGGUCCAACCCUCCCUGUAAUCUAGACUUCUGUAAGUGUGCCUUCGAAAUUCUGGCAUUUUUGCCAUUCCAACUAUAGGGCAAGAUAAUUGAGUCCAGGUCUUUAAAAAAGGCUGCGGUGAGAUAAAUGGGGAGAUUUUGACAUAAGUAUAAAAUUUGGGAAGGGAGAUCAUUUUAAUUGAGUUUAUGCGUCCAAUCAUAGAUAAGGGAAGAAUUUUCCAACAAAUUUUGUUUUAAUUUUGAAAUAAAUUCUGCGAAAUUUAAUUUGAAUAUUAGUUUGGGAUCCUUAGAUCAUUAACUAUUUUGAAUGGGAUACUUUGUAAAAAAAAAAAGGUGAAUAAGUACUGGAAAGUGGCA